AACGCUAGCGGCAGGCUUAACACAUGCAAGUCGAGGGGUAUAUGUCUUCGGAUAUAGAGACCGGCGCACGGGUGCGUAACGCGUAUGCAAUCUACCUUUUACAGAGGGAUAGCCCAGAGAAAUUUGGAUUAAUACCUCAUAGCAUAGUGACUCGGCAUCGAGAUACUAUUAAAGUCACAACGGUAAAAGAUGAGCAUGCGUCCCAUUAGCUAGUUGGUAAGGUAACGGCUUACCAAGGCUACGAUGGGUAGGGGUCCUGAGAGGGAGAUCCCCCACACUGGUACUGAGACACGGACCAGACUCCUACGGGAGGCAGCAGUGAGGAAUAUUGGACAAUGGGCGCAAGCCUGAUCCAGCCAUGCCGCGUGCAGGAUGACGGUCCUAUGGAUUGUAAACUGCUUUUGUACGAGAAGAAACACUCCUACGUGUAGGAGCUUGACGG
rnacentral:rRNA from 1 species